rnacentral:piRNA from 2 species
UAGUAGAACUGGGACUAGAACGAGAGC